AACCCAUGGUGAGAGCACCUUCUUAAUAAGUCAUUAUACCUCUCUCAAGCAUCGUAUAAAGUUUCUAAAUCCAUCUACACAAAGGAAGAGAUAUCGUUCCUCAAUUU
rnacentral:snoRNA from 1 species